rnacentral:rRNA from 1 species
GGGUCAGUAGGUUGGUCGUGCCACCGGUACGUACUGGUCUCACUGAUUCCUCCUUCCUGAAGAACCGUAAUGCCAUUAAUUUGGUGUUGCAGGGAAACAAGACUGUUACUUUGAAAAAAUUAGAGUGUUUAAAGCAAGCUAACGCUUGAAUACAUUAGCAUGGAAUAAUGAAAUAGGACGAUCGAUCCUAUUUUGUUGGUUUCUAGGAUUGACGUA